UACGUAGGGUGCAAGCGUUAAUCGGAAUUACUGGGCGUAAAGCGUGCGCAGGCGGUUUUGUAAGCCAGAUGUGAAAUCCCCGGGCUCAACCUGGGAACUGCAUUUGUGACUGCAUGGCUAGAGUGCGGCAGAGGGGGAUGGAAUUCCGCGUGUAGCAGUGAAAUGCGUAGAUAUGCGGAGGAACACCGAUGGCGAAGGCAAUCCCCCUGGGCCUGCACCGACGCUCAUGCACGAAAGCGUGGGGAGCAAACAGG
rnacentral:rRNA from 1 species